rnacentral:misc_RNA from 1 species
CUUUGGCAUGAUAUGUGGACUUCUUGGGAUGGAUAGUGAGACUUCUCAAAAAGCUUACAUUUUUAUCACAAUGAGGGAUGCAAUUUCUGCUGCAACAAGGCUGAAUUUGGUUGGACCUCUAGGUGCAGCUGUAUUGCAGCAUCAGCUGUGUCUUGUUGCUGAAACUGUAUUGAAAAAGUGGAUGGACCAUACAGUUGAGGAAGCGUGCCAAACAGCUCCUUUGCUUGAUACUCUACAGGGCUGCCAUAGCUAUUUGUUUUCUAGAUUGUUUUGCUCUUGAUAUCUCAGGUAAACGCAUACAUUCUUCAUAAAUGCUCAUUUUU